CUAGUUAACCACACAAUCCAAUCAGUGUGUAAACAAAUGGCUUCUAUCAGCUUAUACAGCAGUUCCACUGAUCCUGUGUGAUAAAUUAAGGCCCCAUAAAAUAGAAUUGAUCCUAACUGGAAAUGAACAGUUUCAUGAUCAUUGAAUAUACAUGUAUAUAGAUUGCUUUCGCCCCCUGCAUUUUCAAAUAUGCAUUUGAAAACACACACAAG